GAGAAAGUCCCGCAAGGAAAGCUGAAAGAGAAAUGAACCACCCCAUAUAAGCACCAAGAAACAAAGACUAAACCUUGUACCUUUUGCAUCAUGAUUUAGCCAGCACCCUCGAGCAAAGAGACCUUUAGUUUGAAACCCCGAAACCAGGUGAGCUACCCCGAGACAGCCUAUAUUAUUUAGGGCUAACCCGUCUCUGUGGCAAAAGAGUGGGAAGAGCUCCGGGUAGAAGUGACAGACCUACCGAACCUGGUGAUAGCUGGUUAUCUGAGAAGUGGAUAGAAGUUCAGCCUCAUACGCCCCAGAUCAAUACGUAUAUUAUUAAGAUACUCAAGGGAAAUAUAUGAGAGUUAGUUGAAAGGGGUACAGCCCUUUUAACAAAGGAUACAACCUUUACAGGAGGAUAAAGAUCAUAAUAUAUAAAACAUACUGUUUUAGUGGGCCUAAAAGCAGCCACCUAAAUAGAAAGCGUUAAAGCUCAGACAGAAGGAAGUUUAUUAUACCGAUAAAAAAUCUUAUUCCCCUAAUUAUAUCAGAUCAACCCAUGCCCACAUGGAAGAGAUUAUGCUAGAAUGAGUAACAAGAAGACCUGCACUUCUCCUUGCACAAGUGUAAGCCAGAUCGGACAAACCACUGGAAUUUAACGAACCCAACCCAAGAGGGCAAUGUGAACAACAAAAAUAUCGAGAAGAAUUCACAAUUAAACUGAUCGUUAACCCCACACUGGAGUGCCAUU
rnacentral:rRNA from 1 species